ensembl:snRNA U1 U1 spliceosomal RNA
AGACUUGGCCACCAGAGGAGACAACAUGAUGAUGAAGGAGGUUUUUCCCAGGGUGAGGCUCAACCAUUGCAAGGUUGCUGUGCUGACCCUUCCUAGUUCCUCACAGGUUGGAAACCUUGCAUGCAGAAUUUGUGAUAAUGGUGUUUGCAUUUACCCUU